AGCUUGCUAUCAGGCGUCGAGCGGCGGACGGGUGAGUAAUACUUAGGAAUCUACCUAGUAGUGGGGGAUAGCUCGGGGAAACUCGAAUUAAUACCGCAUACGACCUACGGGAGAAAGGGGGCAACUUGUUGCUCUCGCUAUUAGAUGAGCCUAAGUCGGAUUAGCUAGAUGGUGGGGUAAAGGCCUACCAUGGCGACGAUCUGUAGCUGGUCUGAGAGGAUGAUCAGCCACACCGGGACUGAGACACGGCCCGGACUCCUACGGGAGGCAGCAGUGGGGAAUAUUGGACAAUGGGGGCAACCCUGAUCCAGCCAUGCCGCGUGUGUGAAGAAGGCCUUUUGGUUGUAAAGCACUUUAAGCAGUGAAGAAGACUCCGUGGUUAAUACCCACGGACGAUGACAUUAGCUGCAGAAUAAGCACCGGCUAACUCUGUGCCAGCAGCCGCGGUAAUACAGAGGGUGCAAGCGUUAAUCGGAAUUACUGGGCGUAAAGCGAGCGUAGGUGGCUUGAUAAGUCAGAUGUGAAAUCCCCGGGCUUAACCUGGGAACUGCAUCUGAUACUGUUAGGCUAGAAUAGGUGAGAGGAAGGUAGAAUUCCAGGUGUAGCGGUGAAAUGCGUAGAGAUCUGGAGGAAUACCGAUGGCGAAAGGCAGCCUUCUGGCAUCAUAUUGACACUGAGGUUCGAAAGCGUGGGUAGCAAACAGGAUUAGAUACCCUGGUAGUCCACGCCGUAAACGAUGUCUACUAGUCGUUGGGUCCCUUGAGGACUUAGUGACGCAGCUAACGCAAUAAGUAGACCGCCUGGGGAGUACGGCCGCAAGGUUAAAACUCAAAUGAAUUGACGGGGGCCCGCACAAGCGGUGGAGCAUGUGGUUUAAUUCGAUGCAACGCGAAGAACCUUACCUGGUCUUGACAUAUCUAGAAUCCUGCAGAGAUGCGGGAGUGCCUUCGGGAAUUAGAAUACAGGUGCUGCAUGGCUGUCGUCAGCUCGUGUCGUGAGAUGUUGGGUUAAGUCCCGCAACGAGCGCAACCCUUGUCCUUAGUUACCAGCGGGUUAAGCCGGGAACUCUAAGGAUACUGCCAGUGACAAACUGGAGGAAGGCGGGGACGACGUCAAGUCAUCAUGGCCCUUACGACCAGGGCUACACACGUGCUACAAUGGUAGGUACAGAGGGCAGCUACACAGCGAUGUGAUGCGAAUCUCAAAAAGCCUAUCGUAGUCCAGAUUGGAGUCUGCAACUCGACUCCAUGAAGUAGGAAUCGCUAGUAAUCGCGGAUCAGAAUGCCGCGGUGAAUACGUUCCCGGGCCUUGUACACACCGCCC
rnacentral:rRNA from 1 species